rnacentral:rRNA from 1 species
CCUACGGGAGGCAGCAGUGAGGAAUAUUGGUCAAUGGACGAGAGUCUGAACCAGCCAAGUAGCGUGAAGGAUGACUGCCCUAUGGGUUGUAAACUUCUUUUAUAUGGGAAUAAAAUGUUCCACGUGUGGGAUUUUGUAUGUACCAUAUGAAUAAGGAUCGGCUAACUCCGUGCCAGCAGCCGCGGUAAUACGGAGGAUCCGAGCGUUAUCCGGAUUUAUUGGGUUUAAAGGGAGCGUAGGUGGAUUGUUAAGUCAGUUGUGAAAGUUUGCGGCUCAACCGUAAAAUUGCAGUUGAAACUGGCAGUUCUUAGUACAGGAGAGGUGGGGGGAAAUUGGGGGUG